CAGAGUGGAGCAGUCUGGUAGCUCGUCGGGUUCAUAACCCGAAGGUCGGUGGUUCAAAUCCAUCCUCUGUAUCCA
rnacentral:tRNA from 1 species